rnacentral:rRNA from 1 species
AACGAACGCUGGCGGCGGGCCUAACACAUGCAAGUCGAACGCUCUCUUCGGAGGGAGUGGCAGACGGGUGAGUAACACGUGGGAACCUACCCCUUGGUACGGAAUAACUGAUGGAAACGUUAGCUAAUACCGUAUGAGCGCUGAGGCGGAAAGAUUUAUCGCCAAGGGAUGGGCCCGCGUAGGAUUAGCUAGUUGGUGGGGUAAAGGCCUACCAAGGCGACGAUCCUUAGCUGGUCUGAGAGGAUGAUCAGCCACACUGGGACUGAGACACGGCCCAGACUCCUACGGGAGGCAGCAGUGGGGAAUAUUGGACAAUGGGCGGAAGCCUGAUCCAGCCAUGCCGCGUGAGUGAUGAAGGCCUUAGGGUUGUAAAGCUCUUUCACCUGGGAAGAUAAUGACGGUACCAGGAGAAGAAGCCCCGGCUAACUUCGUGCCAGCCGCCGCUGUAAUAC